AACGGACGCUGGCGGCAGGCCUAACACAUGCAAGUCGAACGCUCCAGCAAUGGAGCGUGGCAGACGGGUGAGUAACGCGUGGGAACCUACCCUUUCGUUCGGAAUCGCUCCGGGAAACUUGAGGUAAUACCGGAUAAGGCCUUCGGGGGAAAGAUUUAUCGCCAAUGGAUGGGCCUGGGUCGGAUUAGCUAGUUGGUAGGGUAAAGGCCGACCAAGGCGACGAUCCGUAGCUGGUCUGAGAGGACGAUCAGCGACACUGGGACUGAGACACGGCCCAGACUCCUACGGGAGGCAGCAGUGGGGAAUAUUGGACAAUGGGAGCAAGCCUGAUCCAGCCAUGCCGCGUGAGUGACGAAGGUCUUCGGAUUGUAAAGCUCUUUUGGCGGGGAAGAUGAUGACGGUACCCGCAGAAUAAGCCCCGGCUAACUUCGUGCCAGCAGCCGCCGUAA
rnacentral:rRNA from 1 species